rnacentral:tRNA from 3 species
GGUGCGAUGCCCGAGUGGUUAAGGGGUUAGUCUUGAAAACUAAUUCGCAAUGCGAGCGCAGGUUCGAACCCUGCUCGCACCG